UUCAUUUUUGUCGCGGGCGAAAUCUACUCCCUGAUGUUGCCGCGGAAGUACGGCCCGAAAAAAUUCUACUUCGGCCGAGAGCCGUUCUAUCCGGCGUUCAUCGGCGCCGCUUUCCAGACCGGAUCGCCGAUCACGGAUACGUUCACGCAUUCACUACUCAGACUGGAAGAGAGCGGGAUCAUUUCAAAGCUCAAGAUAAAUGAAAUGGACACGAUUCCCAAGGGCAAAUCAGCGGGCAACGAAGAGAGUAGGGGUUUCUACAUCACCUUAUCGCACCUUCAGGCCGUCUUCUACAUAUAUUUUGUGGGACUGUUAACCGCGUCAUCGGUGGUGAUAAUUGAGAACAUCGUAUUCUACAGCAGCCAUUUCAAAUCGAACCUGGUGAUAUAAGUCGAUCCGAGAUUCAUCCCGAACAUCCACAAGUACAU